CAAAUUAUUUCUGCAAACACUUUGACAUCCCUGCCAUUUCAUCUCUCUCUCUCAGUCAUUCCACCCACGAAUUACUAUCCGGCCGUUAUGUCUCGCUCACUCCACCACUUUUACAGAAUAUCGCGAUAAAGCGGUUGUUCAAACUUAUGGACGUAGGCGAUGGACUUCUUGGUGCUCGGCAGUGGGGAACUUACUAUUACGAUCGAAGUCAGAGGCUAGCUUGGCAGUCGGACUAGAUUGGAACACGGCCAUAGCCCAAAGGUAUACUUGCCCCAUCCUUUUCUAGACACAGCAUUUAGUGUUGUCCAAACCGGUACAGGCUUUGGUUGAGCAAUCUGUUAGCUCAUCAUCAUCGUUUUAGUUGCUUGUCAUUUGUCCACUGACCAGGUCCAACAGCUUUCCGGAGCCAUAACGAAAAGCCAAAUACCCGUACAAAUGCUGGCCAACGCACACUCGCAUAACCAGGACGAAGAGCCAGGACACAGGAAGCCCCUGAACGACACCAACAUGAACCCAACAGACAUCAACUGUGCCAGCUGCCCGUGCAGGGAAUCGGAGCCAAGGGAAAUACAAUUUGAAACCUUUGUUGCGGUCUUCCCUCAGUUGCGUAUCCAGCUCUCAGUAUUAUAUGGUUUUGCUCCUGCCCUCCACAGCUGGCACAGGCGAAUGGUUGAAUCUCUUACAUAGUUCCCUCCUACCGUGGGAAACUCCUCUACUGGAUCCUGUUUGGAGCGUGCUGCUUUAUUAUAAACGUCCCACAGGCGUUCAGGCGGAACAAUUCGACAUUAAUGGGAGAAAUAAUGCUGGAAAUCAGGACGGAUAUUCCUGAAAGCCUUGACAUGGAUUGCAGCACCUUGCAGUCACUGAUGGUUGGAACGAGGCUGCGGGAGUGGGUGCAGUCCCCAGCUCGUUGCCAGUUGAAGCAAUUGCAAUUAGGUGUAAUUACAGAGAGCUUCAAUCCGCUCCCACCCCCCUGGUGGGCAGAGAAAGUUAUCGCAACUUUUGACCGGAGCCAAAGGCGACGAGAGGAUUUUAAUUAAUUUCAUUACAGGCGAUGCCAAAAGUUUCCAAUAAUCUGCACGCUUUUCCAAAGGCUUGCCAAGUACGUUCUCUAUUCAAAGAAACGUGCCCCGAACCCCAUGAAUCAUUUAGUAACCUGAACUAGGAAUUUGCUUUUGAACUGGUCAUUCGUCACAGAUGAUGUGGACUUCCUUCAUGGAGGAGUGGGGGGAGAGAACUUCGACAUCCAAAUUUUGUAAAUGAACUAAAUGAAACUAAUCUGACCUAAUGGCCGUGCCUUGUGUUGUGAGCCAAUCAUCUCCUCCUCGGAAACCAGAAAAAGAGCUAUGUUUCAAUUCAUUUUGCUGGAUCUAACAAGCAUUUAUUAAUCUAUAAAAAGGAUAAUUGUACAAAAGAACUUAAAGAACAAUUUGUGGUGGCUAAUUAAUUACUCGUACCAUUACGAUUUUUGUCUCUUGGGCUACACUGUAUGUGUGCCACAGUUUGGGUUUCAUGGUUUUGUAAUUUCGUUAU